rnacentral:lncRNA from 1 species
UUGAAAUAUACCUGGGAAUGAAAAAGCAACGGAAAAGAUGAUGGAUCAGCAGUGAGCAACGAUAGAAUUUAACCCAAAUUCAGUUUUUAAACAGAAAAAUGAGAUUCACCAGUCCAAAACCAGCUUCAAUCGAACAAUAAUCAAAACCAAAUUUCUUCAAAUCCAAGUUUAAUCCAUUUAUACCCCAUAUGAAUCAGAAGGUGUUUCAACAACUAAAAAACUUCAGAAAUCCGAGAAAAUCAUUCAAUGAAAUAGUGAUUUAUGGAAGAACUUGUAUUGUUUCCUUUUUUUCUUAACUUUAUGCUUCCAGAUUUCUAUAGAACAGUAAACAAUGCAGCCUUUUUAGGAUUCUCAGCUCAAGG